rnacentral:rRNA from 1 species
GAUGAACGCUGGCGGCGUGCCUAACACAUGCAAGUCGAGCGGAAAGACGGUGAGCGUGCGCCCUUGACGUUGGCGGGUGGCGGGCGAGUAACGCGUGGAUCGGAUUCUUCUAUUACGGGGAUGACUACGUAAGACCGGUGCUACUACCAGAGAAUAUAUUGUACCGCAGGGAGCAGUGGAGAUUCACGGUUUUGGGGUAUGUAUUAGCCGGCGCCGGAUUAGCUUGUUGGGAGGGUAAGGGCACACCAAGGCAACGAUACGUAGCUGAGCUGAGAGGAUGAUCGGCCACACUGGAACUGAGCCACGGUCCAGACUCCUACGGGAGGCAGCAGUGGGGAAUCUUCGGCAAUGGGCGCAAGCCUGACCCAGCCACGCCGCGUGAGUGAAGAAGGCCUUCGGGUCGUAAAGCCCUGUUGUUGGGAAAGAACAGAAGUAGGUUAAUACCCGGCCGUCCUGACGGUACCCAAAGAAUAAGCACCGGCUAACUACGUG